CCUACGGGUGGCAGCAGUGAGGAAUAUUGGUCAAUGGACGAGAGUCUGAACCAGCCAAGUAGCGUGAAGGAUGACUGCCCUAUGGGUUGUAAACUUCUUUUAUAUGGGAAUAAAAUGUUCCACGUGUGGGAUUUUGUAUGUACCAUAUGAAUAAGGAUCGGCUAACUCCGUGCCAGCAGCCGCGGUAAUACGGAGGAUCCGAGCGUUAUCAGGAUUUAUUGGGUUUAAAGGGAGCGUAGGUGGAUUGUUAAGUCAGUUGUGAAAGUUUGCGGCUCAACCGUAAAAUUGCAGUUGAAACUGGCAGUCUUGAGUACAGGAGAGGGGGGCGGAAUUCGUGGUGUAGCGGUGAAAUGCUUAGAUAUCACGAAGAACUCUGAUUGCGAAGGCAGUUCACUGGACUGCAACUGACACUGAGGCUCGAAAGUGUGGGUAUCAAACAGGAUUAGAUACCCGAGUAGUC
rnacentral:rRNA from 1 species